CUAGAGACGUGGGCCGUGGAGCUGGAGGUGACACUGGAGACGUGGACCGUGGAGCUGGAGGUGACGCUGGAGACGUGGAACUGGAGGAGACG